rnacentral:rRNA from 1 species
UACGUAGGGUGCAAGCGUUGUCCGGAAUUAUUGGGCGUAAAGAGCUCGUAGGCGGUUUGUCGCGUCUGCUGUGAAAACCCGAGGCUCAACCUCGGGCCUGCAGUGGGUACGGGCAGACUAGAGUGCGGUAGGGGAGAUUGGAAUUCCUGGUGUAGCGGUGGAAUGCGCAGAUAUCAGGAGGAACACCAAUGGCGAAGGCAGAUCUCUGGGCCGAUACUGACGCUGAGGAGCGAAAGCAUGGGGAGCGAACAGG